CAGUCGCCGCGGUAAUACGGAGGGUGCAAGCGUUAUCCGGAUUUAUUGGGUUUAAAGGGUCCGUAGGCGGACUUAUAAGUCAGUGGUGAAAGCCUGUCGCUUAACGAUAGAACUGCCAUUGAUACUGUAAGUCUUGAGUAUAUUUGAGGUAGCUGGAAUAAGUAGUGUAGCGGUGAAAUGCAUAGAUAUUACUUAGAACACCAAUUGCGAAGGCAGGUUACCAAGAUAUAACUGACGCUGAGGGACGAAAGCGUCGGUAGCGAACAGGAUUAGAUAACCGGGUAGUCCCUGUCUCUUAUAC
rnacentral:rRNA from 1 species